GAUGAAGAACGUAGCGAAAUGCGAUACGUAAUGUGAAUUGCAGAAUUCAGUGAAUCAUCGAAUCUUUGAACGCAUAUUGCGCUCUCUGGUAUUCCGGAGAGCAUGCUUGUUUGAGUAUCAGUAAACACCUCAACUUCCAUAUCUUUUUUGAAAUGGGAGUUGGACUUGAGUGAUCCCAACGCUUUUCCUCACCGAAAAGUGGCGGGUUACUUGAAAUGCAGGUGCAGCUGGACUUUUCUCUGAGCUAUAAGCAUAUCUAUUUAGUCUGCCUAAAAAACAGAUUAUUACCUUUGCGGCAGCUAACAUAAAGGAGAUUAGUUCUUGUGCUGACUGAUGCAGGAUUCACAAAGACGGCUUCGGCCGACUUUGUAAACUCGAUCUCAAAUCAAGUAAGACUACCCGCUGAACUUAAGCAUAUCAAUAAGCGGAGGA
rnacentral:misc_RNA from 1 species